rnacentral:rRNA from 1 species
UACAGAGGUCUCAAGCGUUGUUCGGAUUCAUUGGGCGUAAAGGGUGCGUAGGUGGCGCCGUAAGUCGGGUGUGAAAUUUCGGAGCUUAACUCCGAAACUGCAUUCGAUACUGCGGUGCUUGAGGACUGGAGAGGAGACUGGAAUUUACGGUGUAGCAGUGAAAUGCGUAGAGAUCGUAAGGAAGACCAGUGGCGAAGGCGGGUCUCUGGACAGUUCCUGGACACUGAGGCACGAAGGCCAGGGGAGCAAACGGG